GACGAACGCUGGCGGCGCGCCUAACACAUGCAAGUCGAACGGAGCUGAGAGAAGCUUGCUUUUCUUAGCUUAGUGGCGAACGGGUGAGUAACGCGUGAGUAACCUGCCCUGGAGUGGGGGACAACAGUUGGAAACGACUGCUAAUACCGCAUAAGCUCACGAUCCGGCAUCGGAUUGAGGGAAAAGGAUUUAUUCGCUUCAGGAUGGACUCGCGUCCAAUUAGCUAGUUGGUGAGGUAACGGCCCACCAAGGCGACGAUUGGUAGCCGGACUGAGAGGUUGACCGGCUGCGUUGGAGCUGCGACACGGCCCAGACUCCUACGGGAGGCAGCAGUGGGGGGUAUUACACAAUGGGGGAAACCCUGAUACAGCGACGCCGCGUGGAGGAAGAAGGUUUUCGGAUUGUAAACUCCUGUCGUUAGGGACGAUAGUGACGGUAACUAACAAGAAAGCACCGGCUAACUACGUG
rnacentral:rRNA from 1 species